rnacentral:rRNA from 1 species
GCAUAUCAAUAAGCGGAGGAAAAGAACUACAAGGAUUCCCCUAGUACGGCGAGUGAAGCGGGACAGCUCAAAUUUUAAUCUGGCUGCGAUUCGCAGUUCGAGUUGUAAUUUGAAGAAGUCUGUCGCAGUCUGGACGCUGGCACAAGUCUUCUGGAACGGAGCAUCGUAGAGGGUGAGAAUCCCGUCUUUGGUCGAUGUUCGGACGGCAGACGGCAGACUUUCUAAGAGUCGAGUUGUUUGGGAUUGCAGCUCAAAAUGGGUGGUAAACUCCAUCUAAGGCUAAAUAUUGGCGAGAGACCGAUAGCGAACAAGUACCGUGAGGGAAAGAUGAAAAGAACUUUGAAAAGAGAGUAAAACAGUACGUGAAAUUGUUGAAAGGGAAACGCUUGAAGUCAGUCGUGCCGGUGGAAACUCAGCGAGCUUUUUCGCGAAAGCUUGUGAAAUUUUUCGCAUGGCAGGUCAGCGUCAGUUUCGCGAGUGGUAAAAGGGUUCUGGUAAGGUAGCUCUCCUCGGAGAGUGUUAUAGACCGGAGCAGAUGCGACUUGCGAGACUGAGAUGCAGCAGACACCCUUCGUGGAGCGGCGCGCGACUCUGUCCGGCUCCCCGUGCUCAACAGCAUGCUGAGUGGGCGUGGGGACGCUUUGAACACCAGUUGCGAAUAGCCAGCGGUUUGCUAGGACGUUGACGUAAUGGCUUUAAACGAC